GACGAACGCUGGCGGCGUGCUUAACACAUGCAAGUCGAACGGAAAGGCCCUGCUUUUGUGGGGUGCUCGAGUGGCGAACGUGUGAGUAACACGUGAGUAACCUGCCCUUGACUUUGGGAUAACUUCAGGAAACUGGGGCUAAUACCGUAUAGGAGCUCCUGCUGCAUGGUGGGGGUUGGAAAGUUUCGGCGGGUGGGGAUGGACUCGCGGCUUAUCAGCUUGUUGGUGGGGUAGUGGCUUACCAAGGCUUUGACGGGUAGCCGGCCUGAGAGGGUGACCGGCCACAUUGGGACUGAGAUACGGCCCAGACUCCUACGGGAGGCAGCAGUGGGGAAUAUUGCACAAUGGGCGGAAGCCUGAUGCAGCAACGCCGCGUGCGGGAUGACGGCCUUCGGGUUGUAAACCGCUUUCGCCUGUGACGAAGCGUGAGUGACGGUAAUGGGUAAAGAAGCACCGGCUAACUACGUG
rnacentral:rRNA from 1 species